rnacentral:lncRNA from 12 species
ACCCCUGGGGUUCCUGGGUGACACCCAAGGGGAUCCUCAGUGACCCCUGGGGUUCCUGAGUGACCCCUGGGGACCCUGAGUGACCCCAGGGACCCUGAGUGACCCCUGGGCCAUCCCAGGACCCUGAGUGCCCCCUGGGGUUCCUGAGUGACCCCUGGGGAUCCUGAGUGACCCUUGAGAUCCUGAGUGACCCCUGGGGAUCCUGAGUGACCCCUGGGGUUCCGGGCACAAGAAGCGCAGCAAGAGCCCGCGGGUGCCCGAGCUGAAGAGGAAGAUGAAGGGCAGGAAAAUGGCCCCGCUCAAGAUCAAACUGGGAGUACUGGGGGGCAAACGCAAGAAGAGCAGCUCGGUGAGUGCUGAGCGCCUGCAGGGCACUGGGAGCACUGGGAGCACUGGGGGACAGGCAGGGGAGCACUGGGAGCACUGGGGGACAGGGUGCGAGGCACUGGGAGCACUGGGGGACAGGCAGGGGGGCACUGGGAGCACUGGGGGUGGGGACACCCAGGGACAGGGACACUGAGGAUGGUGCACGGGAUGGGACACUCGUCCUUGCUGUCCCCAAUGUCCCCACUGUCCCCAGUGUCCCCAAUGUCCCCAGUGUGUCCCCACUGUCCCCAGUGUCCAUAAUGUCCCCAAUGUCCCCAGUGUGUCCCCACUGUCCCCACUGUCCCCAGUGUCCCCUGUCCCCAAUGUCCCCACUGUCCCCAGUGUCCCCAAUGUCCCCAGUGUGUCCCCAGUGUGUCCCCAUGUCCCCAUGUCCCCGCAGUGACGGGCUCCGAGGACGCCUCGGUGUCCCCAGUGUCCCCAUUGUCCCCACUGUCCCCACUGUGUCCCCACUGUGUCCCCUGAUGUCCCCAGUGUCCCCUGAUGUCCCCAGUGUGUUC